rnacentral:misc_RNA from 1 species
UGUGGGAGCGGGCUUGCUCGCGAAUACGGAGUGUCAGUCAGUGAAUAGGGCGACUGAUGUAUUGCAUUCGCGAGCAAGCCCGCUCCCACA